ACUCCUGCGGGAGGCAGCAGUGGGGAAUAUUGCACAAUGGGCGCAAGCCUGAUGCAGCCAUGCCGCGUGUAUGAAGAAGGCCUUCGGGUUGUAAAGUACUUUCAGCGGGGAGGAAGGCGAUAAGGUUAAUAACCUUGUUGAUUGACGUUACCCGCAGAAGAAGCACCGGCUAACUCCGUGCCAGCAGCCGCGGUAAUACGGAGGGUGCAAGCGUUAAUCGGAAUUACUGGGCGUAAAGCGCACGCAGGCGGUCUGUCAAGUCGGAUGUGAAAUCCCCGGGCUCAACCUGGGAACUGCAUUCGAAACUGGCAGGCUAGAGUCUUGUAGAGGGGGGUAGAAUUCCAGGUGUAGCGGUGAAAUGCGUAGAGAUCUGGAGGAAUACCGGUGGCGAAGGCGGCCCCCUGGACAAAGACUGACGCUCAGGUGCGAAAGCGUGGGGAGCAAACAGGAUUAGAAACCCUUGUAGUCCCAUGAU
rnacentral:rRNA from 1 species